UACGGAGGGGGCUAGCGUUGUUCGGAAUUACUGGGCGUAAAGCGCACGUAGGCGGACUGGAAAGUCAGAGGUGAAAUCCCAGGGCUCAACCUUGGAACUGCCUUUGAAACUCCCGGUCUUGAGGUCGAGAGAGGUGAGUGGAAUUCCGAGUGUAGAGGUGAAAUUCGUAGAUAUUCGGAGGAACACCAGUGGCGAAGGCGGCUCACUGGUCCAUUACUGACGCUGAGGUGCGAAAGCGUGGGGAGCAAACAGG
rnacentral:rRNA from 1 species